AACGCAAAUUGCGCCCGAGGCUUCGGCCAAGGGCAUGUCUGCCUCAGCGUCGGUUUACACCCUCGCACCCUUCGCCCCCUGCGGGUGAGCGGUGCGGACCUGGCCCUCCCGGGUGCCUCGCCAAGAGCGGCCCCGGGUUGGCUGAAGCGGAGAGGCUUGAGCAUGGACCCCGUUUGCAGGGCAAUGGCUUGGUAGGUAGGCUCCCCUACUCACACCUGCCGUCGCCCGAGGGGACUUUGCUGGAGGCCCAGCAGGAAUUUGGGUCGGGGCCCUGCGGCCCCCCCAAAACCAAACCCUUCGACCUGAGCUCAGGCAAGAUUACCCGCUGAACUUAA
rnacentral:misc_RNA from 1 species